UACGUAGGGCGCAAGCGUUGUCCGGAAUUACUGGGCGUAAAGGGCUCGUAGGUGGCCAACUAAGUCAGACGUGAAAUCCCUCGGCUUAACCGGGGAACUGCGUCUGAUACUGGAUGGCUUGAGUUCGGGAGAGGGAUGCGGAAUUCCAGGUGUAGCGGUGAAAUGCGUAGAUAUCUGGAGGAACACCGGUGGCGAAGGCGGCAUCCUGGACCGGCACUGACACUGAGGAGCGAAAGCCAGGGGAGCAAACGGGG
rnacentral:rRNA from 1 species